UUUUUGAGAUAUAUUUUGUAAUGAGUGAAAUCAGUUUUACAAAAUGAGUUAUUUCAAUUAACUGAAAUAGGUCUUUUGAAUUCAAUGAAACCAAUUUUAUGAAAUAGAUUGUUCCAAUGUGUGAAAUUGAUUAUGUUCGUGGAGCUGCUUACUCCUGAUUGUGAAACUGAUAUUUAGGAAACAUAAUUGCAAGUGAAAUAUGAAACUAUAGAAUUUAAUUAUGCAUGCAUUAUUUUAAAGCGGUGAAGUCUGUAAUAUAAAAUGAGCGAAUCAGUUUUCGAAAUGAAUGGAAUCAUGUUUUUAAAACGGAUGAAAUAUGUUUUUUUAAUGUGUGAAAUCUGUCUUUUCAAAUGAGUGAAUUCAUAUUUUUUAAACGAGUGAAUUGUUAUUUUGAAUCAACUAAAAAAGAUGAGUGAAAUAUGCAUAUGAAACAAAUUUCAUUGUGAAAUAUGUUUAACUUGUAAUUUAGAAAAAUGUGAAACUAGUUAUUUUAAAACAUGCGAUUAUUUCAUUUUUUUUAUAAAUGAGCGAAAUCUAUUUUAUGAAGCGAGUGAAAUUGUUUUUUAUUUCAUUUAAAUGUCACUUAUUUCAAGUUAAAAUUUAUAUUUCAAACGUUUGAAACUAACUUUUGAGUUGAUUGAAAUACAUUUGAAUAUAUUUCAUAAAUACAAAGUGGAAUUAGUUUUUGAGAUAUAUUUUGUAAUGAGUGAAAUCAGUUUUACGAAAUGAGUUAUUUCAAUUAACUGAAAUAGGUCUUCUGAAUUCAAUGAAACCAAUUUUAAGAAAUAGAUUGUUCCAAUGUGUGAAAUUGAUUAUGUUCGUGAAGCUGCUUACUCCUGAUUGUGAAACUGAUAUUUAGGAAAUAUAAUUGCAAGUGAAAUAUGAAACUAUAGAAUUUAAAUAUGCAUGCAUUAUUUUAAAGCGGUGAAAAUCUGUAAUAUAAAAUGAGUGAAUCAGUUUUCGAAAUGAAUGGAAUCUUGUUUUUAAAACGGAUGAAAUAUGUUUAUUUAAUGUGUGAAAUAUGUCUUUUCAAAUGAGUGAAUUCAUAUUUUUUAAAUCAGUGAAUUGUUAUUUUGAAUCAACUAAAAAAGAUGAGUGAAAUAUGCAUAUGAAACAAACUUCAUUGUGAAAUAUGUUUAACUUGUAAUUUAGAAAAAUGUGAAACUAGUUAUUUUAAAACAUGCGAUUAUUUCAAUUUUUUAUAAAUGAACGAUCUAUUUUAUGAAGCGAGUGAAAUUGUUUUUUAUUUCAUUUAAAUGUCACUUAUUUCAAGUUAAAAUUUAUAUUUCAAACGUUUGAAACUAACUUUUGAGUUGAUUGAAAUACAUUUGAAUAUAUUUCAUAAAUACAAAGUG
rnacentral:lncRNA from 1 species